UACGUAGGGGGCUAGCGUUGUCCGGAUUUAUUGGGCGUAAAGAGCGUGUAGGCGGCCAAGUAGGUCCGGUGUGAAAACUCGAGGCUUAACCUCGAGAUGUCAUCGGAAACCAUUUGGCUAGAGUCCGGAAGAGGAAAGUGGAAUUCCUGGUGUAGCGGUGAAAUGCGUAGAUAUCAGGAAGAACACCCGUGGCUAAGGCGGUUCUCUAGUACGGUACUGACGCUCAGACGCGAAAGCGUGGGGAGCGAACAGG
rnacentral:rRNA from 1 species